rnacentral:rRNA from 1 species
GUGGGGAAUUUUGGACAAUGGGCGAAAGCCUGAUCCAGCAAUGCCGCGUGCAGGAUGAAGGCCUUCGGGUUGUAAACUGCUUUUGUACGGAACGAAAAGCUUCGGGUUAAUACCCUGGAGUCAUGACGGUACCGUAAGAAUAAGCACCGGCUAACUACGUGCCAGCAGCCGCGGUAAUACGUAGGGUGCAAGCGUUAAUCGGAAUUACUGGGCGUAAAGCGUGCGCAGGCGGUUUUGUAAGACAGAGGUGAAAUCCCCGGGCUCAACCUGGGAACUGCCUUUGUGACUGCAAGGCUAGAGUACGGCAGAGGGGGAUGGAAUUCCGCGUGUAGCAGUGAAAUGCGUAGAUAUGCGGAGGAACACCGAUGGCGAAGGCAAUCCCCUGGGCCUGUACUGACGCUCAUGCACGAAAGCGUGGGGAGCAAACAGGAUUAGAAACCCCAGUAGUCC